UACAGAGGUCUCAAGCGUUGUUCGGAUUCAUUGGGCGUAAAGGGUGCGUAGGCGGCGCGGUAAGUCGGGUGUGAAAUUUCGAGGCUUAACUUCGAAACUGCAUUCGAUACUGCCGUGCUUGAGGACUGGAGAGGAGACUGGAAUUUACGGUGUAGCGGUGAAAUGCGUAGAUAUCGAGAGGAACACCUGCGGCGAAGGCGGGUUGCUGGGCGGACACUGACGCUGAUGCGCGAAAGCCAGGGGAGCGAACGGG
rnacentral:rRNA from 1 species